GAUGAACACUAGCGGCAGGCCUAACACAUGCAAGUCGAGGGGUAUAGGCUUUCGGGCCUAGAGACCGGCGCACGGGUGCGUAACGCGUAUGCAAUCUACCUUGUACAGGGGGAUAGCCCAGAGAAAUUUGGAUUAAUACCCCAUGGUAUUUUAGGGUAGCAUCACCUUAUUAUUAAAGUUCCAACGGUACAAGAUGAGCAUGCGUCCCAUUAACUAGUGGGUAUGGUAACGGCAUACCAAGGCAAAGAGGGGUAGGGGUCCUGAGAGGGAGAUCCCCCACACUGGUACUGAGACACGGACCAGACUCCUACGGGAGACAGCAGUGAGGAAUAGUGGUCAAUGGGCGCAAGCCUGAACCAGCCAGGCCGCGUGCAGGAUGACGCAUCUAUGGUGUGUAAACUGCUUUUGUACGGGAAGAAACCACUCUACGUGUAGAGUAUUGACGGUACCGUAAGAAUAAGGAUCGGCUAACUCCGUGCCAGCCGCCGCCGUAA
rnacentral:rRNA from 1 species